rnacentral:rRNA from 1 species
ACAUUCGUCAUGCAUUACUAGCGGCGAGUGUGCCGGCUUUCCUUUUUAGCUUUUGCGGCUCCUCUCGCGGCUACUUUGGCAUUCCCUGAUGGUAUCUUUUCCUCCGCUUAUUGACUGCAUUCUUGGAACAGAACGUCACAGAGGGUGAGAAUCCCGUGCGAUGAGAUGUCCCAGACCUAUGUAAAGUUCCUUCGAAGAGUCGAGUUGUUUGGGAAUGCAGCUCUAAGUGGGUGGUAAAUUCCAUCUAAAGCUAAAUAUUGGCGAGAGACCGAUAGCGAACAAGUACAGUGAUGGAAAGAUGAAAAGAACUUUGAAAAGAGAGUGAAAAAGUACGUGAAAUUGUUGAAAGGGAAGGGCUUGAGAUCAGACUUGGUAUUUUGUAUGUUACUCUCUCGGGGGUGGCCUCUACAGUUUACCGGGCCAGCAUCAGUUUGAGCGGUAGGAUAAGUGCAAAGAAAUGUGGCACUGCUUCGGUAGUGUGUUAUAGUCUUUGUCGAUACUGCCAGCUUAGACUGAGGACUGCGGCUUCGGCCUAGGAUGUUGGCAUAAUGAUCUUAAGUCGCCCGUCUUGAAACACAGACCC